ACAAAUUUGAUUCCAUUAAUAUAAGAGUAUACCCGUCUUCACUGGCAAAGACUUGUGAAGACUUUAAGACAAAAAAUGAAGUUCUUAUACAGCAGGUCAAGAUAUAUGAAGAAGACUUCAAUAAAGAAAGAGCUGACAAAGAGAAGAUAAGAAAAGAAAAAGGGGAGCUACAGCAAAUUCUCCGGAAACUUAGGCUUCAGCUUCACAAAUAGAUAACAAGGCCCUUCAUUAAAACCCCAAGCCAAAAUCAUUCAAGACCGCUUCCUAUACUGCUGUCCUUCCAAGUUAUAUUCGUGGAGGGGAUUUUCAAAGUUAUGAAAAGUGUUCUGAAAAGUGCUGGGGAAUCCCCUGUACACUAUGUUUGUCUUUUAACCCCCUAGGUAGCUCUGUGAAAG